GAUGAACGCUGGCGGCGUGCCUAAUACAUGCAAGUCGAACGCUGAAGGAAGGAGCUUGCUCUUUCCGGAUGAGUUGCGAACGGGUGAGUAACGCGUAGGUAACCUGCCUGGUAGCGGGGGAUAACUAUUGGAAACGAUAGCUAAUACCGCAUAACAGUAGAUGUUGCAUGACAACUAUUUGAAAGGGGCAAUUGCUCCACUACCAGAUGGACCUGCGUUGUAUUAGCUAGUUGGUGAGGUAACGGCUCACCAAGGCGACGAUACAUAGCCGACCUGAGAGGGUGAUCGGCCACACUGGGACUGAGACACGGCCCAGACUCCUACGGGAGGCAGCAGUAGGGAAUCUUCGGCAAUGGACGGAAGUCUGACCGAGCAACGCCGCGUGAGUGAAGAAGGUUUUCGGAUCGUAAAGCUCUGUUGUAAGAGAAGAACGAGUGUGAGAGUGGAAAGUUCACACUGUGACGGUAGCUUAACAGAAAGGGACGGCUAACUACGUG
rnacentral:rRNA from 1 species